rnacentral:lncRNA from 1 species
AAUUACCUAAACAGGAGUUAAGUAGAUUCUCCCGGGUCGUGUGUCCGACGCUGAGAGUCAAUCGGCUGACUUUUAGCGCCAACACAAUUUUGGCACGCCCGGUGGGACCACUUCAACCUCUACCAUGUCGAAAGCUGCCAAAAUCUCUGAAGAUAACGUCAUUGAGGUGACGGAAGCAGACCUCAAGGACGACCAUAAGGAAGAGCUGGAAAGGCAGAUAGCACAAUACCGG